GUUUAGAAGAGGUUUCCAAUGAAUGGUGUAGAAUUAUGAUUAUUUCUAAGUCAGAGAAAUGUGGGUGCUUAAUCAAGAAAAAUAAUUUCUUCUGUUGAUUUGGCUUAUUUGGAGAAAAGAUAAUUGUGUAAAGGUGGAUACAAAAUGAUUCCUUUUAUAAGAGGUAUCGCCACUUACCUACACGAGAGAAAAGGGUACGGGGA
rnacentral:lncRNA from 1 species